AGAGUGAACGCUGGCGGUAGGCCUAACACAUGCAAGUCGAACGGCAGCACAGGAGAGCUUGCUCUCUGGGUGGCGAGUGGCGGACGGGUGAGGAAUACAUCGGAAUCUACCUUUUCGUGGGGGAUAACGUAGGGAAGCUUACGCUAAUACCGCAUAAGACCUUCGGGUGAAAGCCGGGGACCUUCGGGCCUGGCGCGGAUAGAUGAGCCGAUGUCGGAUUAGCUUGUUGGCGGGGUAAAAGCCCACCAAGGCGACGAUCCGUAGCUGGUCUGAGAGGAUGAUCAGCCACACUGGAACUGAGACACGGUCCAGACUCCGUACGGGAGCAGCAGGUGGGGAAUAGUUGGAACAAGUCGGGGCGA
rnacentral:rRNA from 1 species